CAAAUACCUCCUGACGCCCUCCUCCCCAUCUCCGAUUCCUCCUCCGCCCGCGAUUCCUUCUCUCCUCGCCGCAUCACCGUCCCCGUGCCCUUCUCCAAACUCCGCCAUCCCCGUCCCGUACUCCCUCCCUUGGAAAAGAUCAAUUGGAGGAGUAAUUCCGGCUUCAUCCGGUGGUGGCGAUGCCGGAAAAGAUCGAUUUUUUUUCGACGGGAGGAGCAAUUCCGGAUUGAUCCGGUGGUGCCGAUGCCGGAUCCUGCGACGGCGCCGACGCGAGCCACCAAGGGCCGUGGACUCCCUCUCCGGCUGCGAUUCCGCCAAACCCUGUCGUCUCGGCGUCCCAGCGACCAUCUCCGAGGCGGAUAAAAUCGUUUCUUUCGGUAGCAGCCCGAGGAGAAGGCCUGGACAAAUCCUCGGAGCAGUAAGCCCGCCGCUCCAGCACCUUUCCUCACCGCCGUCGUCAUCAAGAUCACAAGAGCAGGACUCUUUGGACGGUGCUGAAGAUUGACCGGUUGGAGUCUAUUGAUUUGGGUAUCCAGGAGUAUCCUACUAGUUACACGGAGAAUUGAUUGUCAAGAACUAAUUUGGCGGAUUCACGAGGGAAAUAGGUUUUCUGAAGUUUCUUGGUCCUUACUACAUGGUUCCAAUUACCAGGAGAAGAAAAGUUGGCAGAAUCUGUGGUCAUUAUAUUUUUAUUCAAUUGGAAAGAGUGAAAUGGUUGCAAUAGAAAUCUGCAUUUAAGUCUUCAGCUCUCAUAUUCUUUUUGUGGUUUAUUUAUUUAUACACUCAGAGAGAGGACUGGUUAGCUUAGGCCAUCGGAGUAUCUGUUUGAUUGAUGUGAUGAAUUUCAAUUCUGCCUUGGAGUAUUUAUUUAUUGAGCUUUACCUGUCUUUUUCUCAGGUUCUCUUGGUGGUCGGAAUUUUGCAAGGUGAAGUUGGUCCUAUGAUUUCUGUCAUGAAAAUUGAAAUGACACGUUUGGAGUCUUGUUCGGAUGUCGGUGGUUUACAUGUUCCAAUUCAAGAUAUUAAAGAACCAGUUGAACUUCCCGAGCUAUAUGAGGACAUUGGAUUUAGGCCUCUCAAGGUAGUCAUACUGUAUGGGGAACAGGGAAAGCUCUACUUGCAAAGCACAACAUUCUCCACUGGUAGGCAUUCGUUGACGAGAAGCUUGGCCAAACCCAGUAGGUAUGCGUGGAAUUAUUGAGCUCAGGUUUUUUGGGAUUAAGAUUCUUACACCAAAGGAUCACUAUAUGCCAAGACUUCGAGGAUGAUAAGAGCGGAAGAUUUGGAUUUAAUUGUUAGGCUCGAUGGCUCAAAAUACGACAAGGAAUCAACUGAAAGAGGAACAUGUAUGAAUCGUACGGAAGAACUACUAUAUGCUAUUAAGGCUUUUGCUUUCUGUAGCAACUUCAGAAUCUCUGCUUUUACCCAAGCAUCGACAAGUAGUAUGACAUGUCUUUGUCGCCUCCCACUAAAAAGGGAACUAUUAUCAAGUGCAUCAUUCAUCAUGGACUUGGAUCAAAAGAAAAGUAAAGGUACUCCCUCCGAUCCGAAUUAAUUGACGCAACCUCUAUUCAAGACAAGAGGCUGCGGUGAUUAAUUCAGAUCGGUGGCAGUAUAUUUCUUUCUAGAACAAUUUGCUUGAAUAGAAAUAUUCUUGAGAACGUACCGCGAUUAUGAUGUUAAGGCUACCCCUCAAAUGAAUUUCUCUGUUCUACUUGAAUGAAAAUAGUUCUUGAAACAUAAUGAGAUUUUGAAGCCCUUUAAACAGUCUGCUGCUGGUUAGUUGUUCUGAUCGUCUUCUCUCAUCAUUUUUCUUAUCUGACAACGCAGAAUAAUUCGGUGUCUAAGAAACAUGGCGAUAUUAUAAUAAUCUCUCGGAUCCAUAUGUAUUUCAUUACUAGAUACAUCCGUUUGGCAUAAGUUUCUUUUCAUUCUGAACCUAAUAAUAUCUCCAUGCUUUUAGAGGUUAUUUAGCUAAUACUUCCUCCGUCCGGUAAUACUUGUCAGAGAAAUGGAUGUAUCUAGACAUAUUUUGGCUCA